GGCAUGGCAAUCUGCAGAACAAAAAGAGCAGAGCCCCAUGUUAGUGAAGGGCUGCUGAUCCAGCAUGACAGUGCCCAUCCUUGUAAGUCCUGACCAUGGGGCCUCUGAGCCCCCACCCUACAGUCCCAAGGUUGAGCAAUGGGAGGUUCACUGGUGCUGUGAAAUUGAACACCUUAGCAAGAAUGCUCCCCAAGAUACAAGAAAAUGUGUCAGAAUAAUAGAAUAGUAGUAAAAUAGAAUAAUAGAAUAAUAGAACUCUUUGUUGGAAGGACUCAUAGAGUUCACCUAGUCUAGCUCCCUUGCAAUGAAUGGGGACACCAACAGCUAGAUCAGGUGCUCAGAACCCCAUCCAGCCUGGCCUUGAAUGUCUCCUGGAAAAAGGCAUUCAUCACUCUCUGGGCAACCUGUUCCAGUGCUUCACCACCCUUACUGUAAAAAACUUCUUUAUUAUACCCAGUCUAAAUCUCUUGUCUUUUAGUUUGAAGCCAUUUCCCCUUGUCCUAUCACAGCAACUAAAUAGUGUGUCACCCCCAUUAAAUGCAUUUCUCAGGGUCACGUCUCUCUGGGGCACUCCUGGAUGAGUGGCUCUUUAUCUUGCAGGCUUCCAGCACAAGAACUAGCUCAGCUAAGUCUUUUCUCGUAUAAAUAGCCUGUUGGCACAUAAACCAUGCUCAGGGGCUGCAUUCUACCAAUAAAUUCUGGUUUCUGCUCUGAACAUCCACCUAUCCCUUCAGCAACAAGUCUUCCAACCAUGCUUUUGCACAACAGCCUUCACUCUUGCCUUGCAGCUGUCUGUUGCAAUGUUAUACUGUGGGAAUAGGAUGUAUCUAGUUUUAUGUUUGGCAGUCGGCACUGCAGAAGGUCCCUGACAUCCGUAUUCUGACUCCUGCAAUGGUACCUGUAGUAGGCUACCAGCACUUGUUGUUCUGUCCCUUGAACGUGCCCCGCUGUUUAAAUUCUUCCUGUGCAAUCUUCAUUUCCCUCCCCUAUAGCUUAUAGCUGCAUGGGUAACUAUUAAUAGCACAUUGCUCCCAGAAGGCCUGCACUGGAAAUGCAGAGCCUGGGGUACGAAGAACUGAGGGCUUUUGACACUUUACCAAAAGCCAGUCCAGGCUGUCCCCUUAUCAAAAGUGCCAUCCCACUGCAGUUUACAUGGUGUGCCCAGCUGCAUGUGCAAAUCAUAUCAGCACAAGUCCCAUGGGCUCUGUCAAGGAGCUGGGCAGCAAAGCCUCACUCUGCAUCAGUCUGGCUGCCCUCUGCCCUGCAGAUAGGAAGCCUCAGCUCCCAGAGCCUGAAAACUCUGUCAGGUUACCGACAAAGAGGAAAAGGCACUGGGGAGUCAAGAGAUUCAGGCUUGUUUCCCAGAUUUGAAACAGUUGUCUCUCAUGGCCUUGUGCAAAAUGCUUUUUCUCCACUCCCUCCGGGUCCUUAUCAGGAAAACUGGAACAGCAGCUUCUCGACUCCCUUCUGUCCUGCCUGCCCCGGUGCUAAUGGGAAGAGUUUUGCUGAACGUGGUAGAGCACAACCCAGCACAAGGAGUUCUCACAAGGGCAGUGAUGGGCCCACGUCCUAAACACCACCAUAAGCAACCAGGUUAGGAGCCAACAUUCCCUGCUUAAUAUCAAACUCUGCUUUUUCUGAUAAUGUGGUAUAUGCAGAGAUUGUAUUCUGCACUGAAAAGCUGCCCUGGGGUUGUGAGAGAUGUGCAGCCCUGUAGCCUCAGGAUGCUCUAGGUUCUCUGUCAGAUUUUUAUGGGAACACAGCAGGUGUGGUUUAUAUGGGUACAGAGCAUGUCUAGGAGGAGCAUGGCAUUCACAUGGUGAUGUGGGACACCAGCAGUAGAGCUUGCAGGGCUGUACACCUCUGUGGUGCCCACUGACCCUACUCAUAUAUUCCCAGACCCUUGAGGAGAACAUCAUCGAGUUCCUAAUUCUUUUGGAUGUCUGCAGACCUCGUAUAAGAAAUUACAGUGCAAAUAUCCCAGGGUGAUUUUCCUGCCUGGAAACCUUCCAGGUUUUUAGCACGUGAGUUUCGUUUCAUACUGGUAAGCAUGCAGCUCUUCGUAUCUGGCAGCACUCCGAGCUGAAACACUGCUGUGGGAGAAGAGGACUUUCUUUUUGCCUUUGGUUGAUCACCUCCUAUGUGUCCAGUGUCUCCGCCACGGUGAGCUGCAAGGUGCAAACUUCUACAAGGGCUCAAUGCAGCAACAGCAGAAAUUGCCCCAAAAAGCAGUAUUUCAAAGAGUCUUUUGCAUGUUGGAAUUUUACAAAUCUCCAAUGAGGAAAAAAAACUUUUCAUGGUGAUGUGCCAGGCUGGGCUGCAGCCAGCAGACCUGGAGCGGGAGCAGCUGGGUGGCAGAGCAUGGUGGGAGCACUGCAGCCAGGAGCCUUCACUGCAGACUCACUCACAUACUGCAGCCCUUUGUAGAGGAUCAUCUGCAUAAUUACAAGGAUCACAAAUUCUGCACUUCCCCUAUCAGUGAGCGUUUUCCUUUUGGGUACAGUAUGUUCCUGCAGAUUCCAACGAUAAACUGUCCUAAUGGUCUUUGCAGUCAUUUGAUGUAGCUACAUAAAAAUGUCCUAGCACUGCGCUGGAAGGCAGCUCCCCUCCGCGUGGAUCUGCAUGGGAACAGGGUGUGUGCAGCACGUCCCAUCCACGGGUAAGCUAAUCCUCUCUGCAGAUAAAACUUGCCAGCAAAACCUAGCCUGAAAAAGUAGUUACCGGGGUUGUUUAUUUUUCAAAGGAUGGAUAAAAUUUCAGAGCGAUAAAAUCACUUCCUUGAAAUGCUUUCAUUCAAAUAAUUUACUUCCUUCUGGAAGGCUUAAUCUUUCCUUUGCUGAACCUUUUUUUGUUUUUUUUUUUUUUUUUCUUUUAAUUUUUGCUCCUUCCCCAGCAGGGCAGAGCUGGGCCAAUGUGCAGCUGUGAGCGUGAGCGCGGUGAGCGGGCAGCACGUGCCGUGCCAGCUGUGCCCAACGCGCACCGGCAGCCCUCCAGCAAACGUCCCAUUGUGCUGGUAAAUGUCUCAUUGUGCUCUGUUCCCAGGAGCCCCGCAGACCACGACAGUGAAAACUG
ensembl:lncRNA